UUUCGCUUCCGGGUGGGACGCUUGUCACGUGAGGGUGUUCUGAGUGCCACCUGGUGAAAACGCCCAGAACUGAAGGAUCCGCGCUUCCUUGCACCCAGAACUUAAUGGAGCGUCUGCAGGGAACUUUGCUUUUGCGUGGAACGUCUGAACGUAUUUACAAUCCAGACCUGGUCUGCCCAGUAAGGCAGCCACUAGCCAACGUGGGCUAUUGAUUUAUUAAUUGAUACAUUAAUUUUAAUUAUAUUAAAACAAGCAGUGUGGAAUGCUUUCUCCUUAAACAGGCGUUUUUUUGUUUUGUUGUUUUUUUUUCAGGACCAUAUUUCCCUUUAAAUGCUGAAAAUUUAGUGUGGAAUUGAUAUGUACUGUAUGCAUAAACCACACGCUGGAUGUCUAAGACUGGUGAGCAAGUCUUGACAUCUGGAGGAGUUUCCACCAUCCAAGAAGGAAAAGGCAAAGGUCCACAUGGGAAGCUGGAGGUGAAUGGGAGAGACAGAGGCUGCUCAGAUAGGGGCUUUGGUUUCCUGUCUGCCUGUCAGAGCAGGAGGAGGUGGGCCUUGCAGCACCUUGCAUCUGCGUCACUUCAUUUGUAAGAAGAUGGCUGGAAUGGUGAAAAGCACACAGCUAUAUCAUUACCUCCAGAUAUUGAAAGAGGACAUCUGAACCUGUGUGAUGUUGUAGAAAGAAGAUUGUCUAG
rnacentral:lncRNA from 10 species